GAGACCCAUUUCCACUGUUGCUAACACGCCCGUGAGGGUGGUGAGUACACUGUGGAGACCGCUGGCGCUAAGUCAGAGGAAGGAUUGGUCGACGGUAGGUCAGUAUGCCCCGAAUCCCCCGGGCCACACGCGGGCUGCAAUGGUUGGGACAAUGGGUUCCGACCCCGAGAGGGGAAGGUAAUCCCGAAACCCAAUCUCAGUUGGGAUCGAGGGCUGCAACUCGCCCUCGUGAACAUGGAAUCCCUAGUAAUCGCGCAUCAUCAUUGCGCGGUGAAUACU
rnacentral:rRNA from 1 species